UCCUUCCUUGUCUAGGGGAGCGAAAUGUUCAAUGAUCGUCUAGUGAGAACAUUUUUGCUGACACCCUAUAUAUGAAUUUACCGCACCCGCUGCGCAAAGACGCGAGUGCAAUUUUUGGAGGC